UACGUAGGUGGCAAGCGUUGUCCGGAAUUAUUGGGCGUAAAGCGCGCGCAGGCGGUCUUUUUAAGUCUGAUGUGAAAGCCCCCCGGCUCAACCGGGGAGGGUCAUUGGAAACUGGGAGACUUGAGUGCAGAAGAGAAGAGUGGAAUUCCACGUGUAGCGGUGAAAUGCGUAGAGAUGUGGAGGAACACCAGUGGCGAAGGCGACUCUUUGGUCUGUAACUGACGCUGAGGCGCGAAAGCGUGGGGAGCGAACAGGA
rnacentral:rRNA from 1 species